rnacentral:rRNA from 1 species
GGUAGAAGGCCCCUCAAGGGGCUGUCGCAAUACAAGACAGGACGGCUCAGUAACACGUAGUCAACCUAACCUAUGGACGUGGAUAACCUCGGGAAACUGAGAAUAAACCGCGAUAGAUCAUUAUGCCUGGAGGGGCUUAUGGUUCAAACAAUUUAUUGCCGUAGGAUGGGACUGCGGCCUAUCAGCUUGUUGGUGAGGUAAUGGCCCACCAACGCUAUAACAGGUACGGGCUCUGAGAGGAGAAGCCCGGAGAUGGGUACUGAGACACGGACCCAGGCCCUAUGGGGCGCAGCAGGCGAGAAACCUUAGCAAUGUGCGAAAGCACGACUAGGUUAAUCCGAGUGAUUUCUGUUGAAGAAAUCUUUUGUCAGUCAUAAAACCACAGACGAAUAAGGGGUGGGCAAGUCUGGUGUCAGCCGCCGAGGUAAUACCAGCACCUCGAGUGGUCAGGAGGUUUAUUGGGCCUAAAGCAUCCGUAGCCGGCUACGCAAGUCUCCGGUUAAAUCCAGCUGCUCAACAGAUGGGCUGCCGGAGAUACUACAUAGCUAGGGAGCGGGAGAGGCAGACGCUAUUCUGUGGGUAGGGGUAAAAUCCUUUGAUCCCCGGAAGACCACCAGUGGCGAAGGCGGUCCGCCAGAACGCGCUCGACGGUGAGGGACCCCGCUGGGGGAGCGAACCGGAUUAGAUACCCGGGUAGUCCCAGCUGUAAACGAUGCGAGCUAGGUGACACGACGCCUUCGGGGCAUCGUGGUGCCGCAGGGAAGCCGUUACCCUCUAAGCCGCUCUAGUACGGNCNCNUNUNANANUGGUGGCCUCAAUGAGGG